rnacentral:miRNA from 1 species
UCCUGCCACCUCCUCCGCAG